GAUGAACGCUGGCGGCGUGCCAAAUACAUGCAAGUCGAGCGAAUGGAUUAAGAGCUUGCUCUUAUGAAGUUAGCGGCGGACGGGUGAGUAACACGUGGGUAACCUGCCCAUAAGACUGGGAUAACUCCGGGAAACCGGGGCUAAUACCGGAUAACAUUUUGAACCGCAUGGUUCGAAAUUGAAAGGCGGCUUCGGCUGUCACUUAUGGCUGGACCCGCGUCGCAUUAGCUAGUUGGGGAGGGAACGGCUCACCAAGGAAACGAUGCGUAGCCGACCUGAGAGGGUGAUCGGCCACACUGGGACUGAGACACGGCCCAGACUCCUACGGGAGGCAGCAGUAGGGAAUCUUCCGCAAUGGACGAAAGUCUGACGGAGCAACGCCGCGUGAGUGAUGAAGGCUUUCGGGUCGUAAAACUCUGUUGUUAGGGAAGAACAAGUGCUAGUUGAAUAAGCUGGCACCUUGACGGUACCUAACCAGAAAGCCACGGCUAACUACGUGCCAGCAGCCGCCGUAAAAC
rnacentral:rRNA from 1 species